CAGUCGAGCGGACCUUUCGGGGUCAGCGGCGGACGGGUGAGUAACGCGUGGGAACGUGCCUUCCGGUUCGGAAUAACCCUGGGAAACUAGGGCUAAUACCGGAUACGCCCUUAUGGGGAAAGGUUUACUGCCGGAAGAUCGGCCCGCGUCUGAUUAGCUAGUUGGUGGGGUAACGGCCUACCAAGGCGACGAUCAGUAGCUGGUCUGAGAGGAUGAUCAGCCACACUGGGACUGAGACACGGCCCAGACUCCUACGGGAGGCAGCAGUGGGGAAUAUUGGACAAUGGGCGCAAGCCUGAUCCAGCCAUGCCGCGUGAGUGAUGAAGGCCUUAGGGUUGUAAAGCUCUUUUAUCCGGGACGAUAAUGACGGUACCGGAGGAAUAAGCCCCGGCUAACUUCGUGCCAGCAGCCGCGGUAAUACGAAGGGGGCUAGCGUUGCUCGGAAUCACUGGGCGUAAAGGGCGCGUAGGCGGCGUUUUAAGUCGGGGGUGAAAGCCUGUGGCUCAACCACAGAAUGGCCUUCGAUACUGGGACGCUUGAGUAUGGUAGAGGUUGGUG
rnacentral:rRNA from 1 species